UUAUUACCGUGAAAAAUCCAGAAAUUAAUGCUUGGUGUUGUUUUGUCGUGUUAUUCAUAUCAUUGUGCAUUAUAAGGUCUAUCCUAACAGAGUUUAAAGUCGGUGACUUUUUUGUUUGUUUGUUUGUUUGGAGCAGUUCUUGCGGCAUUGUCUUCCAGAAAGCAUUUUUGGUAUUUAGCAUUGUGAUGAAGUUCCCUUCAAGGUGUUAGUGUGCACUUAAAAAGGAUUUAACGCUUUAGAUUACAGUGCCUGUGCUAAACAUAUAUUAAUGUAAGUGCUUACAAGCAACAAUAUUAAUUUACAAAUAAUCCCCCAAAUAAUUUUUACAUAUUAAAUAUACAUAUUGUUCAUUUGUAACAGUAAUUUGACUAUAACAUUAACACUGUAAUGUAAAAUGUAAACAAAAAACAUAAUGCAUAAAAAAAAAAAAAUCCAUGCUGGGUUUCUUAUCGUUCUCCAAACCCAGACGUGAGUGUGUCUUGGCAUGGUGAAUUAUCCACAGCUGUCUUCAUUGUAUGCUGAUGAACUGCUACAAGCCUGUAUAAAUAAUUUUAGAUUAGUAGAUAUACAAAUAGUUACAGUAUUUUUAUUGAUGUGUUAGAGAAUUGCAAUGCUCACAUUUUUUUUCCUACGACCUAAAGAAAAAUAUGUAAAACAUGUUUAUUUAUGCACUUUGUAUUUUAUUAAUAUGUGCCAGCACAAAUCAGUGGCAACGCAAAUUUUGAGCAUUAGUUAGUGUUGACAGGUCGGCGUAUGUUUGUGUGUGUGUUUUUAUGUGUGUUUUGGGAAUGGUUAUCCAUAUAUAAUGUAUAAAUGUUUGUGUGCACCUAUCAUCUUAUUCGGUGUAGUACAUCUUAUUCUUUUGUAAUAGGCCAUGCUUGAAGGUAUGCCACGCGAGCACAAGCGUUAAGCUCAAGAUGCAAUGCCAACGCACUUUGAAAGGUGAUGUUGCCGUGCUCCAAAAAGGACAAUAUUGCAGUUCACAGGUCAGAGGUCAGCAAAACUUGUAUUUAGAAUAAUUUAAUAUUUAAAAAAAAAAAAUUGUAAAGCUGUACACUGUUUACAAUUGCCCAUAAAGCCGUCCAGCUAUUGAUAGCGAUGACUACUUUGGUAUUAACGUCAGUACUGCUAAAAUUAUAACUGUGCACUUAAACGCGGCAACCCAAAUAGAAGUAAUAAUAUGCCACAUCGGCUCUGCGGUGUAACCUUACAUCUGUGAUCAUGAUCAAAGCCAUUUCACAUGCCACCACUGCAAUUAUGUUUAUUAAAUCCAAAACUACAACAUCUCUGCUUUCACUUACAUGAAAUAUAUACAGUAUUACACUUAUAGUUCUCGAUUGCUGGAUCAGCUGAUGUUGUUACUGAUUCUUGAGCUUUGUGUUGUAUUGCUAAUUAUGGAUUUUUUACUGUAUUAAUACAUUACAUAUAUUUGUAUUUUUUACUAUUUAAAUAAUUGUUCAAUUUAAUGUUUGCAAUAAAACAAAUAAUUUGCUGAUGCA